AAAAAAAAGCAUUGACUCUAGUAGCUGGGACUGUCAAAAGCAAAUAGCUGUUUUUAUUUCUGAAACGUGUAUGCCACUGAAACAAACUUUCAAUAGCUUAUAAUAAGAUAAAAAUGCAAUUAAACAUCCACAGUAAAAAGUCUUUGUUUUUCUUUGAAGAUGUUUCACUUUUCACUCAAGAAGCUUCUUCAGCUUUGAGUGAGAAGCAAAACGUCUUCAAAGAAAACAAGAAAGUCCACUUGCCUCUUGAAAAAGCAUUUUGGGACAACAGGGACCUGGAUGACUGAGAAUCUCCAUAGUGUAAGUGCAAUAAAAUAUCUGUCAUUAUGGAAAAAAUAUUAUUUCAUAAUUCCAACAGCAUCACAAGCACAAAACAACUCAUAACAAAUCAAAAACAAAGGUCAGAAUUACAGUCUAAAAUAGGAAUGCAGUAGUGGCCAUUUAUAACUCAAAGGCACUCUUUCCAGCAGUUCAGCUGUCACCAGCUUUUGAGUGGCCAUAACUCUAGAUUCCCCAAAGAUGAUUCCAAAAGUAAAAGAGAUCCAAAAGUUACUCUUUCUGAAUUCAUUUCACCUGACUGGAACAAUGCUGGCAGCUGUUCUGCUUCAAGGCUGCAGGAAUACACAUGUAGACAGUACUUGGAAGCUGAAGCAAAUAGCAGACAGCAAUGUAAUUUAAAUCCCUAGCAAAGAGUGAUUCCUGAAAAACUGCAGAUACACUCCAAGAAGCAAUAGCGUAAUCCAAAUACUUUCCCAAAAUCACAGAAAGCCAAAUCAGGUAGUCAGCCGGUCCAAGAAUCACAAACUAUUAUUUUGAACUGUUGUUUCCAACAGAGAUUAAAAGCAACUGUAUGCACUUACUCAGGCAUCAUCCUUUGCUUAGUGAGAA